rnacentral:rRNA from 1 species
UACGGGGGGCGCAAGCGUUGUUCGGAUUUACUGGGCGUAAAGGGCGCGUAGGCGGCACUGCAAGUCAGUUGUGAAAUCUCCGGGCUUAACCCGGAAAGGUCAACUGAUACUGCAGGGCUAGAGUGCAGAAGGGGCAACUGGAAUUCUCGGUGUAGCGGUGAAAUGCGCAGAUAUCGGGAAGAACACCCGUGGCGAAGGCGGUUCUCUGGGACGGUACUGACGCUGAGACGCGAAAGCGUGGGGAGCGAACAGG